AUUAAAUUAGAAAUUUCACUUUAAAUUCUCACUUUAGUGAAUAACUAUGUUCGUGGCCUGGUCCAGGCCUGAAGAACAUUGGAAUUGCAGGUAAUCAGCCUAUGCACAAACUAGAAAACUCCCUGCACAAUUCCUGCCUCUGCUUGGUUCUGGCAGUACUGAGCAGUUGCCUGCAAUUCUAUUCCACACAGGCACGGUGUAAGGCUGCAGCCCAC